CUGGGCUCAGCCUUCCUCUCCUGUCAUGGCAUGGAGCAUCCUUUGUUUAAGGCACCCUGAGGUGUGUGAAACCUCUGAGCGGCUGCUCUUGUACAGCUUGAAAUGCAACAACUGUGUGAAGAUCUCCUUCCUGUUUCAAAGGCCUAACCAAGAGUGUUCUGAGGACGUUUUGUUUGUGCCAGAGGUCUCCUCCAUCCCUCUGCCCUCAGGAAUGGGAGCUGAGCACACCAGGGCUGGGACAUCCCUGGGCCCUCAGGCAUCAAACAGCGCUGAGCAGGGAAAAAAACUCCCAGCUGGCACAACCUUUACAGCAAAGAGGAGAGAAAAAAAAGCACAGUAAGUGUCGCCUGUUGAACAAAGCAGGGAUUUCUGACUGAUCCCCAAAACCCUCCCCAAAGAGCCCCCACAGCUCCUGCCAAGGGCUGAGAGGGCUGAUGGGACAGCCCCUGACUGCAGCCUGCCUGAGCAGCCAAAC